CCUACGGGGGGCUGCAGUGGGGAAUAUUGGACAAUGGGGGGAACCCUGAUCCAGCCAUGCCGCGUGUGUGAAGAAGGCCCUCGGGUUGUAAAGCACUUUCAGUGAGGAAGAACGCCUGGUGGUGAAUACCCAUCAGGAAAGACAUCACUCACAGAAGAAGCACCGUCUAACUCCGUGCCAGCAGCCGCGGUAAUACGGAGGGUGCGAGCGUUAAUCGGAAUUACUGGGCGUAAAGCGCGCGUAGGUGGCUUGAUAAGCCGGUUGUGAAAGCCCCGGGCUCAACCUGGGAACGGCAUCCGGAACUGUCAAGCUAGAGUGCAGGAGAGGAAGGUAGAAUUCCCGGUGUAGCGGUGAAAUGCGUAGAGAUCGGGAGGAAUACCAGUGGCGAAGGCGGCCUUCUGGACUGACACUGACACUGAGGUGCGAAAGCGUGGGUAGCAAACAGGAUUAGAUACCCUAGUAGUC
rnacentral:rRNA from 1 species